rnacentral:rRNA from 1 species
AUUGAACGCUGGCGGCAGGCCUAACACAUGCAAGUCGAACGAGUGGCGGACGGGUGAGUAAUGUCUGGGAAACUGCCCGUUGGAGGGGGAUAACUACUGGAAACGGUAGCUAAUACCGCAUACCAUCGGAUGUGCACAGAUUGGAUUAGCUUGUAGGUGGGGUAAAGGCUCACCCAGGCGACGACCCCUAGCUGGUCUGAGAGGAUGACCAGCCACACUGGAACUGAGACACGGUCCAGACUCCUACGGGAGGCAGCAGUGGGGAAUAUUGCACAAUGGGCGCAAGCCUGAUGCAGCCAUGCCGCGUGUAUGAAGAAGGUCUUCGGGUUGUAAAGUACUGUCAUCGAGGAGGCGUUACUCGCAGAAGAAGCAGCGGCUAACUCCGUGCCAGCCGCCGCGGUAAUAC